rnacentral:rRNA from 1 species
UACGGGGGGGGCAAGCGUUGUUCGGAAUUACUGGGCGUAAAGGGCUCGUAGGCGGCCAAUUAAGUCAGACGUGAAAUCCCUCGGCUUAACCGGGGAACUGCGUCUGAUACUGGAUGGCUUGAGGUUGGGAGAGGGAUGCGGAAUUCCAGGUGUAGCGGUGAAAUGCGUAGAUAUCUGGAGGAACACCGGUGGCGAAGGCGGCAUCCUGGACCAAUUCUGACGCUGAGGAGCGAAAGCCAGGGGAGCAAACGGG